rnacentral:rRNA from 1 species
UACAGAGGUCCCAAGCGUUGUUCGGAUUCACUGGGCGUAAAGGGUGCGUAGGCGGUUGGGUAAGUCUGACGUGAAAUCUCCGGGCCUAACCCGGAAACUGCGUUUGAUACUAUCCGGCUAGAGGAAUGGAGGGGAGACUGGAAUACUUGGUGUAGCAGUGAAAUGCGUAGAUAUCAAGUGGAACACCAGUGGCGAAGGCGAGUCUCUGGACAUUUCCUGACGCUGAGGCACGAAGGCCAGGGGAGCAAACGGG